rnacentral:rRNA from 1 species
UACGUAGGGAGCGAGCGUUGUCCGGAAUUAUUGGGCGUAAAGAGCUCGUAGGCGGUCUGUCGCGUCGAUCGUGAAAACUUGGGGCUUAACCCUGAGCUUGCGGUCGAUACGGGCAUGACUGGAGUUCGGCAGGGGAGACUGGAAUUCCUGGUGUAGCGGUGAAAUGCGCAGAUAUCAGGAGGAACACCGGUGGCGAAGGCGGGUCUCUGGGCCGAUACUGACGCUGAGGAGCGAAAGCGUGGGGAGCGAACAGG